rnacentral:lncRNA from 1 species
AUGCAGGGCUCGCACGGGGAGGCAGAGGCUUGGCGUGUGACGGGCAGGACAGAGAAGCUUCUGGGUGAUCCAGAGCAGGAGGACGCAGAGCUGGAGGCUUUUCCCACCCCGCUCGCGUCGGCUGGGGCAGAAGCAGUGCCGCAUCCCCCGGGGGGGGGGGGGGGGGGGGGGGGGGGGGGGGGGGGGGGGGGGGGGGGGGGGGGGCGGGGGCAGAAGCAGUGCCGCAUCCCCGGCGAGCCCAGGCUCCGCUCCUCCCGCAGGUGCUGCGUGCUCCGAGCCUGCUGCUAUGCCAAGCUGGCAGCGCGGCGCUGCCGCCCGGGACCCGUGCAGCCGCUCGCUGCGGCCCGGCCGGGGAUCCCCACCUGCAGUGAGUGCUCGGCAUCCCCUCCCCAGACCCUCCCCGUGCCCGGGGCGCUCGGGGAAGGUCUCAGGCGCGCUGUCGGUCCCCGCAGGGUCGGGCACGCGGUGCCAGCGAGGCGCCUGCAGGUGCGAGAGGGCGGCGUGGCUGUGCCGGGCUCAGCUCCGCCGGGCUCAGCUCCGCCGGGCUCAGCUCCGCCGGGCUCAGCUCCGCCGGGCUCAGCUCCGCCGGGCUCAGCUCCGCCGGGCUCAGCUCCGCCGCCGCGCCCGCUGCCGGGGGCGAGCCGGGCGCUGCUGAACCAAAACCUCCCUCUGCAAAAGCAUCUCCGGGCUGAGCCGCGAAGGGACGGCGCCGGCAGCGCUUCCCAGCCCUGGCGAGUCUCCUCCUCGGGGCCUUUUGGCUUGGAGCGGAGGCGAGCAGCGCUCCGGUCACGGCGUGAGGAGGGGCAGCGGCGCUGCCGCGAUGCUCCAGCACAGCCGAGCAAGGCAGGAGCGGGCGCUGCCGCUCGUCCCGCUGCGGGCGGGAUGGGGGGCAUCCCCCUCGGAGCAAGGCAGGAGCGGGCGCUGCCGCUCGUCCCGCUGCGGGCGGGAUGGGGAGCAUCCCCCUCGGCAGCCUGUCCGCUCCCUCCGCUUCCUGCUUCACAGCAAAUCCCCUCCUGUUGCUCCAAAAUAAAACCAGAGAGCCCAAAGCACCGGUUCGCAGCGUGCCGUGACUCAGCUGAGCCCAGCGCCCACCCUCACCUCCCAGACAGGUUCCCUGUUGAAGUUCUCACCAAAAAGGACACUUGA